rfam:Gossypium raimondii Chr06_contig_386, whole genome shotgun sequence.
GGGUGCAAUCAUACCAACACUUAAGCACUAGAUCCAAUCAGAACUUCGCAGUUAAGUGUGCUUGGGAGAGAGCAGUACUAGGAUGGGUGACCCUUUGGGAAGUCCACGUGUUACACCCC